rnacentral:rRNA from 1 species
AGUGAACGCUGGCGGUAGGCCUAACACAUGCAAGUCGAACGGCAGCACAGUAAGAGCUUGCUCUUACGGGUGGCGAGUGGCGGACGGGUGAGGAAUACAUCGGAAUCUACUUUUUCGUGGGGGAUAACGUAGGGAAACUUACGCUAAUACCGCAUACGACCUACGGGUGAAAGCAGGGGAUCUUCGGACCUUGCGCGAUUGAAUGAGCCGAUGUCGGAUUAGCUAGUUGGCGGGGUAAAGGCCCACCAAGGCGACGAUCCGUAGCUGGUCUGAGAGGAUGAUCAGCCACACUGGAACUGGGACACGGUCCAGACUCCUACGGGAGGCAGCAGUGGGGAAUAUUGGACAAUGGGCGCAAGCCUGAUCCAGCCAUACCGCGUGGGUGAAGAAGGCCUUCGGGUUGUAAAGCCCUUUUGUUGGGAAAGAAAAGCAGCAGGUUAAUACCCCGCUGUUCCGACGGUACCCAAAGAAUAAGCACCGGCUAACUUCGUG